AUGCAAGCCGAGGAAGACGCCGAGUUCGUGGGUGCGCGGGUGGAGGCCGGCCUCCGCGCCGCCCGCUUCUCCUCGCCGCCGUCGUCGGAGGAGUUCGCAGCCUCCAUCGAGCCCAAGAACGUCCCCGCCGUAUUCCACGACGUGCUUAAUGGGUCAGCCGCCUCCUCUCGGUGGGAUCCUCUCCAUGGUGGCCUCGACUACUUGCUGGAGAAGGUGGGACCUGAUGUUGCUGUGGAAGCCAUGAUGUCGAGCACUGGGCACGUGUUCUACGGGGAUCUCAGAAGUCAUGAGAGGGUUUCUAUCCCAUUCUCCACAUUCAUGCACUCCUGCAAAUCUUACCUGGGGCAUCUGAAUGCUGCUGGUGAUUCAUCCAAAGAUAAGGCGAUUGAGGAGGAGCCAACUUGUUCAGAGGAAAUGUGCUCAGCUAUCUCGGAGAAUUCUGAGCAACUCUAUUUAGCGCAGGUGUCAAUCCUCAACACUGAGAACAAAGAGAGAUGCUCGUUAGAAGUUUUAAAAGUGGACAUUCAGGAGCCUAUAUUUCUGAAAGGAAAACCAUUUUCAUCAAUAAACUUCUGGAUGAGUAGGGCUCACAUGAGAUCAAGUACCCAUUAUGAUCCUCACCAUAACCUUCUCUGCGUGGUUGCUGGAUGCAAGAAAGUAACUUUGUGGUCUCCCUCCGCAUCCCCAUUUUUGUAUCCAAUGCCUGUAUACGGGGAGGCCUCCAACCAUAGCUGUGUCAGUAUUGAGGAACCAGACUAUUCAAGCUACACAAGAGCAAAGUACAUGAAGGAGUAUUCUGAAAGGGUUGUCCUAAAUUGUGGCGAUGCUCUUUUCAUACCAGAAGGAUGGUACAUCUUUUUGAACUAUUUUACACUGUAUCACCAAGUAGACAGUGAUGAUUUGACCAUAGCAAUUAAUUUUUGGUGGAAGUCAAGAAUAAUGACUGAAAUGUUAGAGCAUAUGGAUGCCUACUAUCUACGCCGAAUUUUAAGGAGAUUGGUGGAUACAGAGAUGGACAAAAUAGCGCAGAAAAAUUCCUUCAGUCAUGCGAAAGAAAACAACGGUUUUCAGCCUACAGACAAAGCAUUGAGAGGCUCUGAGCAAUUCAAUUUGCACAACGAGGUUAAAAGUCAUGAUACGUCUGACAAGAAAGGCGCAACUGAUACAUCUGACAAGAAAGGUGCACCAUUGCAAUCUUUGGAACCCAGCACCCUACAAGCGCUUUAUGAACUCAUGUCACUGGUUCAUGACAGUGUUGAAGCGGUUGACCAAAAUAACAUAGCAGAAUCUGCAUCUCAGGAUACAUCUUCCAGCCAAAGCAUUGAAAGAAAGAAGAUUGCUGCAGAUGAUUCAUCUCUCUUGGAGAAAGACCCUGUUGCAAAAAUCAUUUUGCCAGUUGAACCACUCGAGUUGCGGAGUAUGCUACUAGCAAUGGUGCAUACUUUCCCGAGGACAUUAGAAGGUUUAGUCCUCAACAUACUUGGACCUACAGGAGCAGAGAUACUGACUAGGAAGUUUGAUGAGAUGGAUCAACAAACCACAACAGAAGAACAGGCUAAGUUCUACAAGACAUUCUACACUGCGUUUGAUGACCAAUAUGCUGCAAUGGACGCACUUCUUAAUAGGAAGGAACUGUUUUCUUUCCAGGUGUUCCAGAGUGUCCUUGACCAAUAUCUGAGGGUGCAUGUUGAUCGGCCUAGCUAA
rnacentral:rRNA from 1 species